GUGUCAGCCGCCGCGGUAAUACGGAGGGGGCUAGCGUUGUUCGGAAUUACUGGGCGUAAAGCGCAUGUAGGCGGUUAUGUCAGUCAGAUGUGAAAUCCCCGGGCUCAACCUGGGAACUGCAUUUGAUACUGCGUAACUAGAGUACGGUAGAGGUUGAUGGAAUUCCUAGUGUAGAGGUGGAAUUCGUAGAUAUUAGGAGGAACACCAGUGGCGAAGGCGAUCAACUGGGCCGUAACUGACGCUAAGGUGCGAAAGCGUGGGGAGCAAACAGGAUUAGAUACCCUGGUAGUCCACGCCGUAAACGAUGAGUGCUAGAUGUCGGGAGUUCCGCUUUCGGUAUCGCAGUUAACGCAUUAAGCACUCCGCCUGGGGAGUACGGUCGCAAGGUUAAAACUCAAAUGAAUUGACGGGG
rnacentral:rRNA from 1 species